AGCAUAUCAAUAAGCGGAGGAAAAGAAACUAACAAGGAUUCCCUUAGUAACUGCGAGUGAAGAGGGAAAAGCUCAAAUUUAAAAUCUGGCAGUGUCUCACUGUCCGAGUUGUAACCUAGAGAAGUGUAACCUGCGCUGGACCGUGUAUAAGUCUCCUGGAAUGGAGCGUCACAGAGGGUGAGAAUCCCGUCUUUGACAUGGACCACCAGUGCAUUGUGGUUGUGCUCUCAACGAGUCGAGUUGUUUGGGAAUGCAGCUCUAAAUGGGUGGUAAAUUCCAUCUAAAGCUAAAUAUUGGCGAGAGACCGAUAGCGAACAAGUACCGUGAGGGAAAGAUGAAAAGAACUUUGGAAAGAGAGUUAAACAGUAUGUGAAAUUGUUGAAAGGGAAACGUUUGAAGUCAGUCGCGUUGGUUGGGGAUCAGCCUGACAUUGUUGGGUUUACUUCCUGGUCGACGGGCCAACAUCAGUUUUGACUGCCAGAAAAAGGCCAAAGGAAUGUGGCACCUUUGGGUGUGUUAUAGCCCUUGGUCGUAUAUGGUGGUUGGGACUGAGGAAAGCAGCGUGCCGAAAGGCCGGGUUUCGACCACGUUCACGCUGAGGAUGUUGGCAUAAUGGCUUUAAGCGACCCGUCUUGAAACACGGACCAAGGAGUCUAACAUGCAUGCGAGUGUUUGGGUGGAAAACCCUUACGCGUAAUGAAAGUGAAAGUUGAGAUCCCUGUCGUGGGGAGCAUCGACGCCCGGACCAGAACUUUUGGGACGGAUCUGCGGUAGAGCACGUAUGUUGGGACCCGAAAGAUGGUGAACUAUGCCUGAAUAGGGUGAAGCCAGAGGAAACUCUGGUGGAGGCUCGUAGCGAUUCUGACGUGCAAAUCGAUCGUCAAAUUUGGGUAUAGGGGCGAAAGACUAAUCGAACCAUCUAGUAGCUGGUUCCUGCC
rnacentral:rRNA from 1 species